rnacentral:rRNA from 1 species
GACGAACGCUGGCGGCGUGCUUAACACAUGCAAGUCGUACGGUAAGGCCCUUUCGGGGGUACACGAGUGGCGAACGGGUGAGUAACACGUGAGUAACCUGCCCACAACUUUGGGAUAACGCUAGGAAACUGGUGCUAAUACUGGAUAUGUGCUCCUGCUGCAUGGUGGGGGUUGGAAAGCUCCGGCGGUUGUGGAUGGACUCGCGGCCUAUCAGCUUGUUGGUGGGGUAGUGGCCUACCAAGGCGGCGACGGGUAGCCGGCCUGAGAGGGUGACCGGCCACAUUGGGACUGAGAUACGGCCCAGACUCCUACGGGAGGCAGCAGUGGGGAAUAUUGCACAAGGGGCGCAAGCCUGAUGCAGCAACGCCGCGUGCGGGAUGACGGCCUUCGGGUUAUAAACCGCUUUCAGCAGGGACGAAGCUUUUUGUGACGGUACCUGCAGAAGAAGCACCGGCUAACUACGUG